AGGGCCAUUGCUAUUGGGAUCCGAUUUAGCCAUGCUAGUCGCACGAGUUCAGACUCGUGGCGAAUAGCUCAGUAACACGUGGCCAAACUACCCUUUCGGAACACAAUACCCUCGGGAAACUGAGGCUAAUAGUGUAUACCAUACCACCACUGGAAUGAGUGGUAUGCCAAACGCUCCGGCGCCGAAGGAUGUGGCUGCGGCCGAUUAGGUAGACGGUGGGGUAACGGCCCACCGUGCCAAUAAUCGGUAUGGGUCAUGAGAGUGAGAACCCAGAGACGGAAUCUGAGACAAGAUUCCGGGCCCUACGGGGCGCAGCAGGCGCGAAACCUUUACACUGCACGACAGUGCGAUAGGGGGAUCCCAAGUGCACAGGCAUAGCGCCUGUGCUUUUCGGUACCCUAAGGCGGUACCAGAAUAAGGGCUGGGCAAGACCGGUGCCAGCCGCCGCGGUAAUACCGGCAGCCCAAGUGAUGGCCGAUCUUAUUGGGCCUAAAGCGUCCGUAGCUGGCCGCGCAAGUCCAUCGGGAAAUCCACCUGCUCAACAGGUGGGCGCCCGGUAGAAACUGCGUGGCUUGGGACCGGAAGGCGCGACGGGUACGUCCGGGGUAGGAGUGAAAUCCCGUAAUCCUGGACGGACCGCCGAUGGCGAAAGCACGUCGCGAGAACGGAUCCGACAGUGAGGGACGAAAGCCAGGGUCUCGAACCGGAUUAGAUACCCGGGUAGUCCUGGCCGUAAACAAUGUCUGCUAGGUGUGGCUCCCACUACGAGUGGGUGCUGUGCCGCAGGGAAGCCGCUAAGCAGACCGCCUGGGAAGUACGUCCGCAAGGAUGAAACUUAAAGGAAUUGGCGGGGGGAGCACUACAACCGGGA
rnacentral:rRNA from 1 species